rnacentral:rRNA from 1 species
CCCAGCAGCUGAAUCACCCUGUAACUCGCACCUGGCAGCCCCCUGAAGCUCAGCAGGUGUGAGCCUGGCCAGUACCUGGAUGGGAGACCUCCUGGGAAAGCUAAGGCUGCUGCUGGAA